AUAGCGUAUAUUAAAGUUGUUGCAGUUAAAAAGCUCGUAGUUGAACCUUGGGUCUGGCUGGCCGGUCCGCCUCACCGCGAGUACUGGUCCGGCUGGACCUUUCCUUCUGGGGAACCUCAUGGCCUUCACUGGGUGUGUUGGGGAACCAGGACUUUUACUUUGAAAAAAUUAGAGUGUUCAAAGCAGGCAUUAGCUCGAAUACAUUAGCAUGGAAUAAUAGAAUAGGACGUGUGGUUCUAUUUUGUUGGUUUCUAGGACCAUCGUAAUGAUUAAUAGGGAUAGUCGGGGGCAUCAGUAUUCAAUCGUCAGAGGUGAAAUUCUUGGAUCGAUUGAAGACUAACUACUG
rnacentral:rRNA from 1 species